rnacentral:rRNA from 1 species
GAUGAACGCUGGCGGCGUGCCUAAUACAUGCAAGUCGAGCGAACAGACGAGGAGCUUGCUCCUCUGACGUUAGCGGCGGACGGGUGAGUAACACGUGGAUAACCUACCUAUAAGACUGGGAUAACUUCGGGAAACCGGAGCUAAUACCGGAUAAUAUAUUGAACCGCAUGGUUCAAUAGUGAAAGACGGUUUUGCUGUCACUUAUAGAUGGAUCCGCGCCGCAUUAGCUAGUUGGUAAGGUAACGGCUUACCAAGGCAACGAUGCGUAGCCGACCUGAGAGGGUGAUCGGCCACACUGGAACUGAGACACGGUCCAGACUCCUACGGGAGGCAGCAGUAGGGAAUCUUCCGCAAUGGGCGAAAGCCUGACGGAGCAACGCCGCGUGAGUGAUGAAGGUCUUCGGAUCGUAAAACGCUGUUAUUAGGGAAGAACAAAUGUGUAAGUAACUAUGCACGUCUUGACGGUACCUAAUCAGAAAGCCACGGCGAACUACGU